rnacentral:rRNA from 1 species
AUGGCUAUUACCACAUUUACUCCUUUGUGGAUUGAGGCAGUAGAAAAAAGCUACGAACUAGAUGACCACUGCAAACAACUACUCCAACAGCUAUCUAUUGCUCCUGACCCAACAUCUAAAUAUACAUUGUCAGACGGCAUACUCCGGUACAAGGGCAGAAUUUACCUAGAUGAGCAUACCCGGGAGCAAAUAAUCAACUCCUUCCAUACAUCUGCAAUAGGAGGACACUCAGGCAUGGUGGCCAAUUACCAGAGAAUCAAAAGAAUUUUUUACUGGCCUGGCCUCAAGAAACAAGUCCACAAGUUCAUAGCAGAAUGUGCAGUCUGCCAAAGGGCGAAGGCAGAGCAUUGCCACUACCCAGGUUUACUAGAUCCCCUGCCUCUUCCGACACAAGCUUGGACUGAUAUAACAAUGGAUUUUAUUGAGGGUCUCCCCAAAUCACAAGGCAAGGAAGUCAUUCUAGUAGUGGUGGAUAGGUAUACAAAAUAUGCUCAUUUCAUUGCCUUACCCCACCCCUACAGUGUCAACACAGUAGCUCAAGCGUUUAUCGAUAAUGUCUUUAAGUUACAUGGACCCCCAGUGAGCAUCGUCACAGACAGGGACAGAAUCUUCACAAGUAAUAUGUGGCAAGGGGUUUUCAAGUCACUAAAUGUGCAGCUCAAGCUUAGUACAACACACCAUCCUCAAACACAUGGUCAAUCCGAGAGGGUAAACCAACGCCUAGAAUCUUAUCUCCGCUGUAUGACAUUUCAAGAACCAAACAAGUGGGUUGCAUGGAUGUCCCUUGCGGAAUGGUGGUAUAAUACCUCAUAUCAUACGGCUACAAAGGAAACUCCAUUCAAAGCCUUAUAUGGAUAUGCUCCUCCAAUGAUAAGUGAAGUUGUAGUCCCGGGUCCUGCUGAUAGUGAAGCACAAGAGUUCCUCCAUGAUAAGCAGAGAACAUUGGCCCACCUCAAGGAAAACUUACUGCAAGCUCAACACAGAAUGAAGAAGUAUGCAGAUAAACACAGAUGUGAAAGAUCAUUCAAAGUGGGUGAUAUGGUGUACUUGAAAAUGCAACCAUAUAGAAGAGCUUCAUUUGGACUCAGACAAGCCAUUAAGCUGACUACCAAAUUCUAUGGGCCUUUUCGCGUGAUGGAAAAAUUGGGCAACUCUUCUUACAAGUUGCUGUUACCACCGCAGGUGCAAAUUCACCCGAUUUUUCAUGUCAGCCAAUUGGAGGGCCACAAGGGCUCCCAUGCCAUCCCAAAUCAAGAACUCCCUUUAGGCCUUGUUCGGUUAAGCCACUCCUCAAGUGGAUUGGAGUGGAAUGGAGGGGAUUUGAGGGAAAAUUGA